AUGGAAGCCACUCCUCCAUGCACGUGCAAAGGCUUGGGCUCGAUCGUCAUCCUCACUACCUGGACCAUCUGGAAGCAUCGCAACACAUGUAUUUACGACAACGCUUAACCUUCUAUCAUGGCCAUGAUCAACUCAAUCAAGAAGGAGGCACAAUGUUGGGGAAAAGCAGGCUCCCGCGACAUCGAUAGCAUCAUGUAA
rnacentral:rRNA from 1 species